UGCUUUACACAUGCAAGUCGAACGGCAGCAUUGGUUUCGGCCAGAUGGCGAGUGGCGAACGGGUGAGUAAUACAUCGGAACGUGCCUAUUAGUGGGGGAUAACCAAUCGAAAGAUUGGCUAAUACCGCAUAAUCUCUGAGGAGGAAAGCUGGGGACUAGAGAUAGCCUGGCGCUGACAGAGCGGCCGAUGGUCGAUUAGCUAGUUGAGGGGGUAAGAGCCCACCAAGGCGAUGAUCGAUAGCUGUUCUGAGAGGAAGAUCAGCCACACUGGGACUGAGACACGGCCCAGACUCCUACGGGAGGCAGCAGCGGGGAAUUUUGGACAAUGGGGGGAACCCUGAUCCAGCAACGCCGCGUGAAUGAAGAAGGCCUUAGGGUUGUAAAGUAC
rnacentral:rRNA from 1 species